rnacentral:rRNA from 1 species
CCUACGGGAGGCAGCAGUGAGGAAUAUUGGUCAAUGGCCGAGAGGCUGAACCAGCCAAGUCGCGUGAGGGAAGACGGCCCUACGGGUUGUAAGCCUCUUUUGUCGGGGAGCAAAGCGAACCACGUGUGGUUCAUUCCGAGUACCCGCAGAAAAAGCAUCGGCUAACCCCGUGCCAGCAGCCGCGGUAAUACGGAGGAUGCGAGCGUUAUCCGGAUUUAUUGGGUUUAAGGGGUGCGCAGGCGGAGGUGCAAGUCAGCGGUCAAAUUGCGGGGCUAAACCCCGUACUGCCGUUGAAACUGGACCACUAGAGUGCGCGAGAGGUAUGCGGAAGGCGUGGUGGAGCGGUGAAAUGCAUAGAUAUGACGAAGAACUCCGAUUGUGAAGGCAGCAUACCGGCGCGAAACUGACGCUCAUGCACGAAAGCGUGGGUAUCGAACAGGAUUAGAUACCCGGGUAGUC